ensembl:lncRNA
GAGCAAUUGUGGAGUCGCUAAGCGAAUUGGAGGAUUUGAAAACGGCCACUGGAACAGGUUUGCCAAAGCGAAGUUUGUGGAAAGAAGUCGUACUCACUCGUGUCUGUUGUACGAAGGUUCCGUAGGGAAAUAGUGACAUUGUGGAACAACGAAGACAUUUCUGGGCGUCUGCACGAAGCUGGGGAGAGAAAGAGAGCGGGAGGAGAUCAGUAUUACGAAGACUGUGAGUACAUUGGAUUGCUUAGAUUGUUGUUUAUAUCUGGAUGAGAAAGAGAGCGGGAGAAGAUCAGUAUCACGAAGACUCUUGUUGAGCGGCCCCAUCGUUGGAGGACGAGACGAGUGGGCGAGCCGAAGUAGAGCGUGGGUGAAUGGAUGUUAUUUGGCUGUGGCCACACCGUAAAGUUUGGAGCACUUACCGUGACAGCGACUGCAAACUCCUCCAGGACGAAAUCCGACCGGGCGUGGAGUACCGACCUUAAAAAUCACUGAAGUGUGUGUAGUGCAGUGGGUGAGUCUGUCUUUGACGUGUGUACACCGAAGCUUUGCAGUGCUGUGCUGUGCCGUGUCCUUGUUGUCUGUACUCUCCUUCCAGGCCGAGAAAAGUUCCUGUUGGAGAGAACGUAGGCUGCUGUGGCGGUGCCCACCUAUUCCACCUACGCCCGCCUAUAACUCCGUUCCCCGGAUCCAGCUUGAAGGUGAAGCGUGAAUGCAAAACAAGGUAUUGUGCGGAUAUUGUGGGGAAAGCUACUGACCUUGAAUACGCUCUGUAAGCCCAGCGUGAAGAUACAGUUACUUGUUGAAUACUUACCUGUCUGUACGAGCUAAAGCUACUGACCUUGAAUACGCCCUGUAAAGCCCAGCGUGAAGAUACAGCUACUUGUUGAAUACUUAUUCGCCUGCACGAGUUAAAAGCCAUUGCUCUGGAACACUCAGUAAGCCUAGUGUGAAGAGUCAGUCACUUUGCUCCAUACCUAUCUGUGUUACGAGUAAAAAGUUACUCGCUUCUGAUAUACCGGUGGACAUCCAGGGGCAUGGCCUAGUUACCCUGCUACAUCCUUACCGUUGUUACUUACCUGUGCCUUCAGGGAUUUGUGUGUUACCUUAUAUCUACCUAGGAGGUCUAUGGGAGUGGAGGAGCUGUCCAGACGCUG